UGGCAACAGCAGUGCGCCUGUGAAAUUCCGUACGGAAACGUCGUUCCAUUGCUGCAUUAUAGCAAAAAAUGAAUCCGAAAACAAGUCAAAGGCAAAAGUGGAGCGAAAAUGAUGUGACAUCAGCUACAGAUUCCGUGAUGAAAAAAGACAUGGGAUACACGCCGACAGCAAAAACCUUUGGAGUACCUCAAAUUACACUGAGUAGGAGAUUUUCUUAAAAUCAAGGUGGCAAAAAAGGAUAACUGGGAGGAUUCAAACCUACGUUCAAUACUGGGGUUGAGUCUGAAAUUUGAGCACACAUUGUUUUUUUGAUUAACAAUCCUAGUUGUGAUGCAAUGUUCGGAAGAACAAAUCCAGUCUAAUCUUCUUCUUGAAGAUGAUCAUUUGGUGACCGAAACACGCGUCGAGGUGUUGGAAAUUGUUUUAUAAUUUCAUGGAGUUGCAACACUUUUAUUUUAUUGGUAUUUCAUUAUCACUCACAAAAUGUUAAUUGAUUAUAUUGGACGAGCCGUGAAUAUAAUACAGUUGUAGGCAAUAAAAGUGUUUUAUAAAUUUUUCAUAGAAACGUUUACAAAAUAAAAUUAUAAAUACAUUUUGAAUUAGUCACGAAAUUAUCACAGGAACGUUUCAACAACUAACUUAUAAAACAUAGUUUCCUAUAAAAGCAAAUUGUUUUGUAGAAGUUUCACAGCACUUUUCUGUGAAGUUUGAUUAUUUUAUAACUGCUUCCUGUAGCUUUAAUAAAAGUAUUUCAUUAGAAUGAUUUCAAAUA